rnacentral:rRNA from 1 species
CGCCUUGCCAGCCCGCUCAGAACUUAAAGGAAUUGACGGGGCCCGCACAAGCGGUGGAGUAUGUGGUUUAAUUCGAUGCAACGCGAAGAACCUUACCUGGUCUUGACAUCCCGGAGACCCUUAGGAACUAGGGGGUGCUUCCAUCUGGAAGAAUCUGGAGACAGGUGCUGCAUGGCUGUCGUCAGCUCGUGUCGUGAGAUGUUGGGUUAAGUCCCGCAACGAGCGCAACCCUUGCCUUUAGUUGCCAGCAGUUCGGCUGGGCACUCUAAAGGGACUGCCGGUGUUAAACCGGAGGAAGGUGGGGAUGACGUCAAGUCCUCAUGGCCUUUAUGUCCAGGGCGACACACGUGCUACAAUGGCCGGCACAACGGGAAGCGAGUUCGCGAGGACGAGCGGAUCCCUCAAAGCCGGUCGCAGUUCGGAUUGAAGUCUGCAACUCGACUUCAUGAAGCUGGAAUCGCUAGUAAUCGUGGAUCAGCCAAGCCGCGGUGAAUACGUUCCCGGGCCUU